rnacentral:rRNA from 1 species
AUUGAACGCUGGCGGAAUGCUUUACACAUGCAAGUCGAACGAUGAACCUUAGCUUGCUAAGGGGAUUAGUGGCGAACGGGUGAGUAAUAUAUCGGAACGUACCUUGUAAUGGGGGAUAACUAGUCGAAAGAUUAGCUAAUACCGCAUACGCCCUGAGGGGGAAAGUAGGGGAUCUUCGGACCUUACGUUAUAAGAGCGGCCGAUAUCUGAUUAGCUAGUUGGUGGGGUAAUGGCCUACCAAGGGGACGAUCAGUAGCUGGUCUGAGAGGACGACCAGCCACACUGGAACUGAGACACGGUCCAGACCCCUACGGGAGGCAGCAGUGGGGAAUUUUGGACAAUGGGCGCAAGCCUGAUCCAGCCAUUCCGCGUGAGUGAAGAAGGCCUUUGGGUUGUAAAGCUCUUUCGCAAGGGAAGAAAACUUACAUUCUAAUAAAGUGUGAGGCUGACGGUACCUUGAUAAGAAGCACCGGCUAACUACGUGCCAGCAGCCGCCGUAA